GCCUGGGGGGCUCAGUCGGUUGAGCGUCCGACUUCGGCUCAGGUCAUGAUCUCACGGUUCGUGAGUUCCAACCUCACGUCGGGCU
rfam:Felis catus isolate Cinnamon breed Abyssinian chromosome F2, whole genome shotgun sequence.